rnacentral:rRNA from 1 species
AUAUUGGACAAUGGGCGAAAGCCUGAUCCAGCCAUGCCGCGUGAGUGAUGAAGGCCUUAGGGUUGUAAAGCUCUUUCAGUGGGGAAGAUAAUGACGGUACCCACAGAAGAAGCCCCGGCUAACUUCGUGCCAGCAGCCGCGGUAACCCGGAGGGGGCUAGCGUUGUUCGGAAUUACUGGGCGUAAAGCGCGCGUAGGCGGCUUUGUAAGUUAGAGGUGAAAGCCCGGAGCUCAACUCCGGAACUGCCUUUAAGACUGCAUCGCUAGAACGUCGGAGAGGUAAGUGGAAUUCCGAGUGUAGAGGUGAAAUUCGUAGAUAUUCGGAAGAACACCAGUGGCGAAGGCGACUUACUGGACGACUGUUGACGCUGAGGUGCGAAAGCGUGGGGAGCAAACAGG